CAGUUCUACCCACCCAGCCGUGGCUACCCCCAAGAAGCCGUGAUCGGGAGCCCUGAGCUCCCCCAGCUCUGCUUCCCACGCCGUGGCCAACAACGAAGGCAGAAACCUGGGAACCUGCUAAGCAGGUCAGAACAGGAGGCUGCCUCUGUCCACAUCCAUGUGGGUAUUAUCUGCAUGUGUCCAAGCAUCCACUUAAACUGGUCUCAGUCCCCAUGGAAGGCUGCACACCUAAGCCAAACCGGUUGGAGAGGGUUAUGCUGAAAUUUCUGUUUGUGACAAUGGGACCUGAGCGUUUCAACAGAAAGCCGCGGGUGCUGACUGGCAUAGUAGAAGAAUUCUGAUCGUUGGACUUGAUUCUAUCCCCGGGACUGAGGCUACAGCGGGUGGCUUCACACUCACUUCUACUGCUCCUCCAUAGGAUGCUUCUCCACUUCCGGAGAUUUAGAGACAUUCCCCCUGUCCCCCAAUACAUAACACAGGGCCUCCAGGAGCCCUUCCUACAUUGAAAAUGCCUUUGCUCCCCCACCCCCAGCUUAAA